UACCAGCACUAAUGCGCCGUAUCCCAUCAGAACUCUGCAGUUAAGCAUACUUGGGACAGAGUAGUACUUGGAUGGGUGACCUCAUGGGAAGUCCUUGUGUUGCACCUU
rnacentral:rRNA from 1 species